GGAUUAUUUUCACAGUGGCUAUUUGCAACCAUGGCACACGGUCCUUCCUCAGGUUGCUUGAUCUCUCCUUCAGUCAAAGAGCGCUGGACUGAGGUCUGGAAACCCGCUGAGAGGCCACAAUUCUUCACGGUGGGGAAGAACUCUCAAGAAUUCCCCAGGCUGAAGGAUGAUACCUAAAGAAAGAACACACCUAGAUCAGAGGACACUGUGUAAAGCUGGAGUUUAGACCUUGUUGGAGG
rnacentral:lncRNA from 1 species